AGCAGCGUGGCCUAGUGGAGAGAGUAUGGGCCUGGGAGUCUAAAGGAUCUGGGUUCUAGUCCCAGCUCUGCUA
rfam:Ornithorhynchus anatinus chromosome 2, whole genome shotgun sequence.